UCGUAACAAGGUUUCCGUAGGUGAACCUGCGGAAGGAUCAUUACCGAGUGAGGGCCCUCUGGGUCCAACCUCCCACCCGUGUUUAUUUACCUUGUUGCUUCGGCGAGCCUGCCUUUUGGCUGCCGGGGGACGUCAGUCCCCGGGUCCGUGCUCGCCGGAGACACCUUAGAACUCUGUCUGAAGAUUGUAGUCUGAGAUUAAAUAUAAAUUAUUUAAAACUUUCAACAACGGAUCUCUUGGUUCCGGCAUCGAUGAAGAACGCAGCGAAAUGCGAUACGUAAUGUGAAUUGCAGAAUUCAGUGAAUCAUCGAGUCUUUGAACGCACAUUGCGCCCUCUGGUAUUCCGGAGGGCAUGCCUGUCCGAGCGUCAUUGCUGCCCUCAAGCACGGCUUGUGUGUUGGGCCCCGUCCUCCUUCCGGGGGACGGGUCCGAAAGGCAGCGGCGGCACCGCGUCCGGUCCUCAAGCGUAUGGGGCUUUGUCACUCGCUUGGUAGGCCUGGCCGGCGCUUGCCGAUCAACCAAAC
rnacentral:misc_RNA from 1 species